rnacentral:rRNA from 1 species
AUUGAACGCUAGCGGGAUGCCUUACACAUGCAAGUCGAACGGCAGCGGGAAGUAGCUUGCUACUUUGCCGGCGGGUGGCGAACGGGUGAGUAAUGUAUCGGAACGUGCCCAGUAGCGGGGGGAUAACUACGCGAAAGCGUGGCUAAUACCGCAUACGCCCUACGGGGAAAGGGGGGACGUCUUCGGAGCCUCUCACUAUUGGAGGCGGCCGAUAUCGGAUUAGCUAGUUGGUGGGGUAAAGGCCU